CACGGCGGCGGGCGGGACGGGGACGAGGGCCGCGGAGAUGUCGGCGGUGGAGUCGAUGGCGGUGGCGUCGAUGGCGGCCUGGACCACCACAAACCCAGAAGCCACAGCACUAUGAGCCUCAUCUGGUCGUAUCCUGUUGCUCCUGCUGGACCUGCUCAGCCAGAAACCACUGGCCAGUGUUGUCCCCACCGAUGGCAUCUCCUCGCCAGGCAGCACGAGGUGGAGAUGGCGCAGGGGCAGGAGCCGGCUGCAAAGCAGAAGAUUAAUUAAGAGGCUGUGCCACUGUCUCGCUGUGAUCUCAGUAACUGAACCGUUAAAGUGAGUUAUUCUUCACAGGGUAAUUACAUUCCCCCUCUCUCUGUUAUCCAUCCCCUGAUCUGUGCUGCACAUACACCCAGUCAGGAGCAGGCCUGUGGUCCGUGAGUCCAUGUGUCAGAGGGGAGAUGGCCUGGCUGCCCCUUCUGCUUCCUGUGCCUCGGCAUUACAGCUUCUGUAGCACACAGAUUCAUGCUGUCUGUGUGGACUGUGUGCUGUUUGUGUGGAUUCAACACUUCCAGACCCUCACACAGCUCUGGGAUCUCCCCAUGAGCCACUUUGGCCGGACACAGCAGUGCUGCUACACCACUGAUUUUGACUGACAGUCCAACCUGGCUUUGUAUCAUAUUAUCAAUACCUGUUUAUGGUGCGUUCUGUGCUGUCAGGUUUCUUGCUGCAUUUUUAAAGCUGCAUUUCACAUGGACAAGUUUGGGAAACUCCUAUGCAGAGCUCUUGUCCUAACAAUCCCAGUGUAGGCAGGCAUGACUAAGAGCCUUUAAAAUCAGACAGCCACAGAACCAUAGAAUCAUUAAUAUAAGAAAACAUUUUUAAGAUCAAGUCCAGCUGUUACCUCAGCAUCACCACCAUGUUCAGCACUAAACCAUGUCACCACAUGUGUUUUGAACACUUCCAGGGCUGGAAACACAGCCUACUUAGAGUAUUAGAAAUAGUAUUUUUUUAGAGGAACAGUCGUUUUUCCUGUGAAAUCUUUCAUUUGUUAAUAAUAACCAAGCAUUCAGUACAGCCAUAUUCUCUGUUAAAACGCUGCAUCCUUUACUCUUUAACACCAUUUCCUCAGCCCAUCACUCCCCCCGUUUCUAGCCCAGCUGCUUCCACAGAUUUCAGCGUCACACUUUUCCCUCGGGGCCGUGCAGCCUGGCCGCCCGCCCGCUCGCUGCUCAGGCCUGUCCUGCUUGCGGAUGUUCCUUUCGGGCCAGGAACAUUAGAGGGAGCUGGAGGCUCGCUGUGCCCGGCUGGAUGGUUGGACGUGGCUGAUGGCUGGCAGGAAUGGCCUGUCCAGCCCAUGCUGGUUCUUCACCAUAGCAUUCCCUGCUCCAAAAUCCCAGCAAAUUCAUCCUCCACAAACUGUGGUGCCUCCGAGGGGUCGGUGUGCCUGCCAGGGAGGACGGGUGCUUCUGCAUCACUUGGGGAGAGGAUUCUGCACCCGUUCAGUCCUGAUCUUGACAGCAGCACCAGCCUGCUCUGUGCCAUGCUCACCGUGCCAGCCCUGCCACCCUGCAUCUGGCACAUCCUGGUGGUAAACUAAAUCAGGGUGAUUUGUGUUGUGGCAGGAGCCAGAGGCUUAAUUCCAGACCAGUGUAAGGAAACACAGCCGUGGAUCUUGGGGAUAAUGGAUCUGUGUGGGACACCCACCAUGGCGCUGUGGGAUGGGGUGACAGGUUUGCUGCAGCGACCCAGCACCAGCACCAUGGUGAUCAGUGGUGUGUUAGACCAGAGGAAUAAAAAGAUGAGUGUCAUACAGGAGACUUUACCAUCCCAAAAAUAAACCUGGGAACAAACACUCCUA